rnacentral:lncRNA from 1 species
AUAAUUAAAUAAAAUCUGAUUUGGAUAAAACGGACUCACUAGUCACGUACGCUUACAUUCGCAAACCCAGAAACAAAUCGAGCAUUUCCACGAGGAUAGCAGUCACCUAUCCUUUGAUUUUCACAGUAUCGCGCUGCUCAUUUACUCCGUGAGAGCGAGGAACCACGGACGGAGAUACAACACCAACCAGGAGAGGGUCAAAUAAGUAAUUUCAACAAUACAGUAAUUAAAUCAGUUAAUUGUAAUUGCCCAACCCUCCAAAUUAAAGAAUUCCAAAAUACUUACAGGUAUACGGGAAUAAUGGUAAAAAGCUGAAGGAGUUAGAAAAAAAAACAAGAAGAAGAAAGAAAAUCUUGCAAAUCCGACCACCGAAUCCCCGGAUACAGUGGGAAACAGCAGUCUUUAUGCUAAAAGUGUUACACGCGACAUACAACUUUUAAUUAACACGCCGUCUUAUCUUUGACACACCAUUCACUAAGGACACUCAUGUACCCUGCUUCUCCUGUGCACCCCCUCCUAGACCACUCGAUCAAGAGUCACAGAGCACGUGGCGGGAUCUGGGAGGUCAUGCCUGGUGAUAAAAAAAAAAAGAAACAAAACAAAUGAUGAGCGGGAAAAGAGGCAAGGGACUACUAAUAUUACAACUACGCAUCGCAUCGCCGUUGGGAUCUUAUAGAGCGCAUGCACUUGCGCACGCUUGGGCUGGCUCGUGCUUCAAUAUAAG